UAUCAUUUAAAGCCUUCCUUUCAUUUUUUAUGGUAACUUGAUUUUUACUCUUCAAAUGUAGAAAAAUUGCCAAAGAAUCAAAUUACAAAGCAGGAGAUUGAUACAAAAUCAAGAGGCAAACAUGUUUGCCAUUAAGGAGAAGCCAGGUGAAAUAGUACUAAAUAAAUGAUUAAAAAUAUAUGAUAAAACUAACAUGAAAAAAUGAAAGGAAGGCUUUAAAUGAUAAAAUCUAAUGAUAAAAUCUUAAUGUUUGCUGCCAGUAUCACAUGAGUUCUAGAGAGCACAUGAUUCAAUCUUCAAUCUUCAUCAUCUGAGUUAAAUACAAUCUUUUUAGCCUUUGGAGCAUCUGCAGAUAUUUCUCUGAAGUGGGCCCCAUAAAGCUUGGACUCCUUUUUCUUUACAUGAGUGCCAAAUUUCAAAAGAGCAGAUGGCACAACUUGCCCAGCUUCACGGAGAACAUUCACAAGCUCUCCAGCAAGCGCCUUAUUUUGAUGCAUGAAAAACGUGUGGGCAACACCCUUCUUACCAGCCCGUCCAGUCCUUCCAAUUCUGUGGACAUAAUCUUCUGUAGUGAGUGGAAAACUAUAAUUGAUCACCACUUCAACAUCUGGAACAUCCAAUCCUCGAGCAGCAACAUCAGUAGCUACCAUUAAAGGACAGUUGCCCUUCUUGAACAAUGAUAGCGCCUUUGUUCGUUGAUCUUGUGCUUUGUUGCCAUGUAUAGAAACAACAUUCCAACCUCUAGUUUUCAGCAUUCCUUCAAGACGAGCAGCUUCCUUCUGGUACAAGGCAAAAACCAAUACUCUGUUCCGUUGAGAUUUGUGAUAUUUUUCUAGCAAAGCAACCAAACGCUCAUCACGUAAAUGUUCCUCCAGGACCUCCACAAUUUGCAUGACAUCAUGGUUAGCAGCCGUAUCCUCUGAACCUACAACUACCUUAAUGGGGUUAGGAUCCAUGUACUCCUCAGCCAGGUUAUGUACAUCUAGAGGCCAUGUAGCACUGAACAUUAUCAUUUGGCGAGCAGAACAUGUGUUGCUCAAUAUGGAUCGAACUUCCUGCCUAAAUCCCAUGUCAAGCAUUCUAUCUGCUUCAUCAAGGACCACAAAAGAUACUUCCAUUAGCUGGCAUACAUUCAUUUCAAUUAGAUCCUUCAGACGACCAGGGGUUGCAAUGAUAAUGUCAACACCAGACUUGAGGGAAGAAAUUUGAGGCCCUUUAGAGGUUCCUCCAUAUAAACAAACUGAUUUCACACCACAAGGUUCCCCAGCAUCAUGUAGAACAACAGAAAUUUGGUCAGCUAAUUCCCGCGUAGGUGCAAGCACAAGACAAAGGGGAUUCACCCUCUUAGCCGAUGCCCCUUUUCGCUUGCUCAAAACAUGCAUAAUUGCGGGUACCCCAUAUGCCAAAGUCUUGCCUGACCCAGUCUUUGCAAUCCCAAUAAAAUCACGUCCAUCCAACAAAAAGGGCCACGCAUGGGCCUGAAUUGGAGAUGGAUUCUUGAAAUUCUCGCAGCAUUUCAAAACAAUAUCUGGCAAAUUCGACUCAGCAAACGAUUUUAAUGGGGCAUACUUUGCCUCUUGUGCAUCCUUUCCGGUCACUGUCACUGUAUCUCCAUCACCUCUAACUAGCUCUAAUUCCUCCUCCACUUCAUGGGUUUCAAUAUCUUUCACUUGUUGGGUUCCAUUCUCUCUCUCUUCCAUUUUCUUUUUCUUCUUGUUUUCUCUCUUGGAGACAUCUUGAAACUCGGUUUCUUCAAUCUUUCUCUUUAUAUUUAGUUCCUUUCUUUCGUCAGAUUCAAGCUUUGCAUACUUAUCCUUCUUCUUCUUUUUCUUAUCAGUUUUUUGGGAUUCUAGUUGGGCAACUGGUUCGUCGUCGAUUAGAACGGUUUCUUGGAGCCUUUUACCCAUGGCCGCAGGCAGCAACUCGAAGCAGAGCAAACCAGCACCACAACUAGAAAGGAAGAA
rnacentral:misc_RNA from 1 species